AUUACCGCUCGCACGAGAAAGUGGAGCCAAUCCAUGAGUACAGUGGCGACCCGGGUGAGUAACACGUGACCAACCUGCCCUCGAGUGGGGAACAACAGCGGGAAACCGCUGCUAAUACCGCAUAACAUCCUUGUGUCGGAAGACUUGGGGAUCAAAGGAGCAAUUCGCUUGAGGAGGGGGUCGCGGCUGAUUAGCCUAGUUGGCGGGGUAAUGGCCCACCAAGGCAAAGAUCGGUAUCCGGCCUGAGAGGGCGCACGGACACCCUGGAACUGAAACACGGUCCAGACUCCUACGGGAGGCAGCAGUGGGGAAUUUUGCGCAAUGGGGGAAACCCUGACGCAGCAACGCCGCGUGGAGGAUGAAGUCCCUUGGGACGUAAACUCCUUUCGACCGGGACGAUAAUGACGGUUGUAGAAAGAGAGGCCCACGCCCAUCAUGAGAUGCGCUGUC
rnacentral:rRNA from 1 species